rnacentral:rRNA from 1 species
UACGUUCCCGGACCUUGUACACACCGCCCGUCAAGCCAUGGAAGUCGGGAGGACCUGAAGCCAGUUGCUGUAAGGCGCUGUUUAGGGUUAAACCGAUGACUGGGGCUAAGUCGUAACAAAGGUACCC